rnacentral:lncRNA from 1 species
GGACUUAAGAGAUUAGUAGUGGUCCACAUAAAUUUUGGUUCACAAUUUUGCAGUGGCGAGUUUCCUUUUUGACACUAUAAAAUGCACCCUUUGAGAACGAUCCUGAAUCCAACAGUAUUGAGAUUAUCAGAGGCUAAAAGUUGUACAAAUACAAUUCUAAAACAUGGGUUCAGAAUUUAUUCAUGGAAUUACCUGGUUUUUGUUCUUGGUGGCGAUAUGUGCCAUCAAAGCCAAAGCUAUCAGUGUUGAUGUCGUUAAAUUUGGAGCCAAGGGUGAUGGCAAGACAGAUGAUACCAAGGUAACAAACAACUAACUCUCGAUCAUGAUAUUGAAACUCAGAUUUUUCUCUAACAAAAUAAACUUUAGUUUUUUCAUCGAACAAUCAAAUACUAUCACGUCAUUCGGCGAAUAAAAUUUAGUGUGCUAUGUGAUACUUUUGGUGUUAUGAAAAAGUUUACAAGCCAACUGAAUUGUUUCUCAUCAAACUAAUGUUUUCUUGUUACGUGAGUAAAUUUUCAGGCUUUCACACAAGCAUGGACACAAGCCUGCAGCGAGAGGCAAAAUAACAGAUAUGUGAUACCAAAAGGAACAUAUAUAGUUGGUCCGGUUGAUUUUGCAGGGCCCUGCAAAGCAAAAACUAUUCACUUUAAGGUUGACGGAACAGUGCAGUCUUCAAAAAAGCAGUCGGUAACUGGAGGUGCGCACCCUAAUGCGUGGAUUAGUUUCACGCAGGUUAACAACUUGUUCAUCUCAGGAGAUGGCAUUUUUGAUGGCCAAGGAUUUGAAGGCAAUUGUACUAAAGCUAAACAAUGCGAACAACCGCCUCUAGUACGCAUCCCCAUUCUCAAUAAUUUUAAUUUUUUUGUUUGUUUAUUCAACAACUAUUUAUCAUACAUGAGUUUUGAACUCAGAACUUCUUCAAACAAAAUGAAGACGGAAGUUAUGAUCUGUUCGAUCGGGAUUAUUUAAUGCUUCUUUGAUUGAAUGCAGAAUUUAGUUUUCGCUAUGGUUAAGGAUUCACACAUCCAAGGCAUAACAUCGAACAAUAGCGUCGGCGGUCACAUUGGCAUUUACCGGUCAAUAAACAUGACAGUGGACAAUGUUGACAUUGGCAUCAAAGGUGGGGAGGGAAUCCUGAUCGAAAAGUCAACAAACAUUAACAUCAUCAAUACAAACAUCAAAAUCCUUCACGACAACUGUGUCACUAUCCUAGAUGGAAACACUGGGAUCAACAUCGAAAAAAUGACCUGCUCACAAGGCAAUGGCCUUGGUGUGAGUGUCCUAGGCAACACUGGCAAAGAGGAGCCGAUUAAGGGCGUGACGGUGAGAAACUGUACCUUCUCACACACUGAGGGUGCAAUUAGGAUCCAGAGUUCGGCGGCUUCUAAUGCUAAUAUAGCCAUCUCUAAUUUGGUUUUUGAAGACAUUAUUUUCGACUAUCUUCAGAACAUGGCUAUAAUCUUAGACCAGGAGCAUUGCCCAUCAAAACAGUGCCGAACGACAAACCCCUCCAAAGUUAAGGUGGAAAAUGUGAGCUUCAAGAACAUUAAGGGCACUUCCGUGGACCCUCGUGUCGUUAUUCUUGAGUGUGGCACUGCUCCCGACGCAUGUAAGGACAUCAGGUUUAUCGACUUGAGAGUUCUCGUCGUAGGGGAUGACCGUUUGGAGACUCAAUUUAGAUGUAAAAACGUGAAGCCUGCUGUGGCUGGCCAUGUUGAUCCUGCUGCUUGUAAUACACGAGCUGUUGCCUGAUAUUAGUUCACCUACGACAUCUUUACAUCCAAGAUAGAGAAAGAGAUAAAGACAGAUUAAAAUGGUUUAUAUAUAUAUAUAUAUAUAUAUAUAUAUAUAAUAGGGUAUUCACCCCUUCCUUCAUACUUAAUUGAAUGAUGGGUGGUGAUGUACGUAUCUAAGAAUCACAUCAGCAACAGAAUAUUGCUGCUUUUUGUAAUAACUUCUGGCUUUAAAUAUUGUUUGUUCAGACUAAUCAUGUACUAGUAUUUCGUCGUUUCAAUGUGGUGAUUAUUAUUUGGAUUUUAACUGCAUUUGC